AUAAGAAACGUUCUAGAAGAGGAAUGGGGCUUUCGGAACAUUGUCAUCUAGAAAUAAAAAGGCGUUAGACCCGCACGAAAGCUUGCGACCGGAAACAGAGGGAAGAAACAUGGCGGAGAAGUUGGCACCGGACAAGCGACACUGCUUCGUCCACAAUGGGCAGAAGGUGUUCGAAUGGGAUCAAACCCUCGAGGAGGUGAACAUCUACCUCGAUCUCCCCCCGAAUGUCCCGACGAAGCUAUUCUACUGCAAGAUCCAGUCACGACACAUUGAAGUCGGCAUCAGAGGCAACCCCUCUUAUCUCCACGGUGCUUGUCUGAUUGCUCUUUACGGAGCAUCGUCAUAGAAAACCUCUUUUCAUAUAUGUUUGUACGUGAGAGGCUGAGAGCAUAGAGAUCUCUGGAGAUGGACAUGGGAACGAAGCAAUGAACAUACUGCCAGGCAGUGUGGAACAGAGAAAAAUCAGGUCGACUAUUACAUAUUUUUUGUUUCAACAUAACAAUCUUCGGAACAUGUUUGCUACCUAAUAAAUAUAACUCUCUUUUAUGUUUUUAUGUUUCCUUCUAGAAUGAAGAACAACUUGUUGAUGAGAUUUUUCAUGUCAACAUGGUGACUGGGGCUUUGUCCUAUCGCUGGCAACUUCUCUUUUAGAAUUGACAUUAGCAUAUGUUUGGGAUCCAAUGCAUGUAUAAGUUAUAACCGACUCCUUUCACUUUCCCCUCUUUAAUCUGUCUAGGAGCUAAUUGUUUGAAGAAUGUCAUUAUAACUCAUGCAAAUAGUUGAACACAUAACUAUCAGAGAAUUAUUCGAACUGUAGCCAUUUUUUUGAUUUUGUUUUAUGCUACAUGCUACAUGUUUUUUUGUGGUUGGCAGAAUCUACAUGCAUGAAGUUAGAGUUGAAACUUUAAUAUGCUUUAUAAGGUUAAAGUUGAGUGGUUUAAUUGUAUAUGUUAUCAUAUAUGUGUUUUUUAUAGGUGCUGUUUGCAUUUUUGUGACGUACAAUGCCAUUUAAAUGCCAUAUGGCUCCAACUAUUUCUUUUUGGUAUAUAAAUUUCUUUGGAUCAGUUUCAAGGUGGAGAUGGCUAAAGGCAACUUGGAAAAAAAAAGGACUUUCAGCCAUGAAGUUGGUUGCACUUGAUGGGGAUGUCGUAUCUUGUACAAGGAUAGAAAAAAGGCCUCCGUAUUUGCAUAAAGUCCUUUGUGCACCUUGGAAAAAAAUUUUGAGUUGGACGAAUUGGAGCUUCGCCAAGGCCAUUGCCUUUCUUGAAAUCUUGAGGUCUCUACCAACUGGUCCACAUCAUUUUCCUCGUAUCCUUAUCUAGAUAGGCCUGCGAGUGGGGUUUAAUCAAGCGAAGCUUGAUCGAGUUUAGGUUUAAUUAAGCUUGGUAUGAAAUCAAUCUUGAGCCUAAAAUUUGAGAUCAAUCUUAGCUUGUUUAUUAGUUGAUCUAGCUUAGUUGGGCCCUAUUUCAAAUUUAGUAGAACACAAGGAUAUUUUCAUCAACUUGGUACUCCUAAAUCAAGUUUGUAUUGUAGUAAGCUCCAACUAGGUGCUUUCUACUGUCUAUGGUAAACGGUUCAGGAUGCAACUCCCUCUGCAUUUGACUCACUUGCUUGAAGCCACUGUGGAGGGCUCAUGACGGAAAUUCCAAAUCAAGUUUGUAUUGUAGUAACUCCAACUAGGUGCUUUCUACUGUCUAUGGUAAACGGUUGAGGAUGCAACUCCCUCUGCAUUUGACUCACUUGCUUGAAGCCACUGUGGAGGGCUCAUGACGGAAAUUCCAAAUCAUUCUCUUGGGUGUGAUCUCUGCUUUACACUGACAUCAAAAUCUUUGUGUGGUCUCAAUCUUGGACAAUACACGUUGAGUCUUCAAGUCUUCCUAGUGGGCCAAGGGCCUCAUGACCAUCACAUGGGGCUGAUUUGUCAUCCCAUGGUCCUUCAUUCAGAACUUUCUUGGAACCACGAUUGAGGACUGUAGACAAAGAGGAAGUUCAGUGGAAAGAUCAGCUUCUGUUGAGGUUCAUCUUCUUUUUGGUUUAGGCUUGCUUCAAGAUUGAAUUAAAGCUUGGUCCAAGAUUAGGGAUCGGAGAGAGGUAGAGUACAGGGGAAGCUGUGGAGGUGGCUAGGGUCAAGGAGACCUUUGAGCAUGUUUAUGGAGGGAAGAGGACUUGGAGUACAGAGCAAGCAGUGUGAGAGAUGACAAGGCUUGAUGGUGGUGAUUGAUUGGCUGGAAGAGUGGAGACUGGAUAAGAAGUAGUGGAGGUGAGAACACAGAGGGAUAGAACUUGGGGGACAAAUUAGCUGGUUGGUGGGUGAAUCAACAAGACAAGAGAGGACUAGAGGGGUGGGACUAGAGAAAAAAUGGUAAGAGGAGAGAUUUGGGGGUUGAGUUGAUGGGACAGAUGGGUUGGCCAACAAGGUUCAGCUUUUUCACCCUCAGUUUGUUGGGUUUAUUUUCAGUUACAUAUAUAUUCAUAUGUCCAUUGUACAUUUUACCUUCAAAUUUGAGUCUUACCUACUUAAGCCUGAUCUAGCUUAUAUUUGACCUGACCAUGAGCUGAGCUUGAGCUACUCAGAUUAAUUGAAUCCCUACUCGCACAAAAUCUCUACAUUGCUGUGUCACAAAGGGUAUGAAAAUGGAUUAUUUCUAGUGUAUCUCACCAUUACUGGCUCUCUUAUUUGGAGAUCUGUUCUGUUGACCAUGAUCUACACAACCAAAAUGCUUGGAAACCAAAUGACAGGCAUUGGUGUUCUCCCACCCAAUGCAUCAUAUGGGUGAGAAAUGGAUGGUACAAGUUGUGCAAGUGUGCUAAAUUACAAGAUAUAAGGGAGAGAGAGAUUAUGAGGAAUGCCAAAAUACAUGUGUGUAUACCUUCUCUUCGAUAAUUUUCUUCAAGAAAAAUUUCCAGGGUGCUUCAGUUAUAACCACUUAUAAGGCUAAAGGUUUAUGAAGUGCUGCCACUGAAUGGCUGCACUGGAGAAAUAUCCUGCUCUUCAGUACUCAACACGACAUUGAUUUUACCCUGUGAAAAGGACUGUGAAGUCAACAAUGUAUAAUUUCAAGUUGCUGACCCCUUCCUUUUCUCUUAGAUGGUCUCCUGCUGUUCACUGGAUAGAAUUAUUAGAUUUCUCUUACUCCUAGUUGUACAUCACUUUUCUGUCCCCUCAACUUUCUUACUAUUGGCAUUGCUAUUGCUCUUGAUUCUGGCUACUAUAGAGGAUGGGACAAUGCAUGUGACACUGCAAAAGAGAGACAAAGGGCACACAUGGUCUUCUCCAAUACUCGGUCAGGGUCUUCUAGAUCCUUAUUCAGCAGAUCUUGAACAGAAGCGCCUUAUGCUGCAGAGGUUCCAAGAAGAGGAACCUGCCUUGACCCCAGGACCUUCAUGGUUGGGAUACGUUCUAAUUGAGAAGGCUGGACUUGUUAGCAUUAGCUUGGGAACCUCAACCUCUCUGAUAAAUGUUAUUAGAGUGUUGCCCACAUCUAUGUUCAUGGUUUCCGUAAAUUAUACCAGCAUAAAAACUUAGGGGCAUCUGACUGGAAGAAUCAACUGAGCUACUUUGUUAAAUUCUAUCUAGUGGAGGCAAUUAUCAUGGCUUGUUGAGUUAAAUUUGUUAGAGAUGAUCGCAUCCUAAGUCUAAUGUUUCUGAAGAUUUUGCAUUGUAGAAAAAUUUUAGAUGAGUAAGAACUUUAGGCACUUGCACAUUCUUGCAGCACCUUGUUGAAGUUUGACGAUAUUUGAUUAAAAAAAUGUGGACAUGCAUCAGUCCAUUUUGAAGUUUA